rnacentral:rRNA from 1 species
UACGGGGGGGGCAAGCGUUGUUCGGAAUCACUGGGCGUAAAGGGAGCGUAGGCGGGAGCCUAAGUUGGGUGUUUAAUUCCGGGGCCCAACCCCGGGCGUGCACUCAAAACUGGGUUUCUUGAAUAGGGAAGAGGUCGGUGGAAUUGGAGGUGUAGCGGUGGAAUGCGUAGAGAUCUCCAAGAACACCCGUUGCGAAGGCGGCCGACUGGACCCAUAUUGACGCUGAGGCUCGAAAGCAUGGGGAGCAAACAGG